CACAUAAUGUUCAUUGUUUUUCGUUGUUGUUACAAUUCUGUUAACAUGUUUUUAAAAAGAAUGUGGUGCAGCGGCCCGGCCUUUGCCAGUGAGGGAAUUCUGGGCCCACUGGUCCGUUUAUUUCUUCUGUUCAGGGAUCACUUACCCAGCAUCACAUCGUAGAGGGUUUUGUGCUAGGUGCCGUGAGCCUAAAAGAGAAACUACAAAUAGCCCCUGCCCUUAGGAGUCACCUUCCCCAGCGCAUCAUGCGUGUGAGCAGGAAGUCCUCAGCCCAGCUGCCCGCCAGACCCCCUGGCCCCGCGGACCCCCUCCCGGACGCGCGCUCUGCGCUGGGCCGCCGAACGUCUUUCUUCCAGGGCCGAUCAGACACCCGCCGAAGGGGCACCAUCGCACCGACUGCCUUUGAGCCCUUGCUGUAGCUGAGCUCUGCCGUGUGCUGGGCCCUCGCCGGGGUCAGGGAGAGACCCGGCGUCAGGAGGAGGCCCGGGCCAGGUUUCCCGCUGUGUUUCUGGGGCACCUGGACGUGCAGUGACGUGUGGACUUUACGGCCACUGGGGACACUCGGUUCAACGUCAGGGAUUUGGGCCUAGAGAUGGUAGAUCAGAAAAGGAGUUUCCGUCUGUUGCUCAGUCCCUUUGGAUUAAGGCUUCUCAAUGUCGUGAGAAAACCAAGUGGUUCUUUCAACUUUGCUGCGGUCCCAGAUGGGGAGGAAGGCCACUGAGACUUCAGAGAUCUUGAAAGGAAAGAAAUGCUUCCAUUUUUUCAGCCACCACUGAGGAUAAGGAGUGAAGUGUGAGGACGCAUCCAGGGACCCUUGCUCCAGCAGAUGGAAGGAUCUUUUACUGCUUCACAUGCCCUGGGCCAAGCUCACAUUCGUCCUAUUUUUAGACUUUCGGGCUGACUUGGUGAAUUUGGCC